GCCAACCUAUCUAUCACUGCCAAUCUAUCUAUCGCUGCUAAUCUAUCGCUGCUAAUCUAUCGCUGCUAAUCUAUCGCUGCUAAUCUAUCGCUGCUGCCAAUCUAUCUAUCGCUGCUAAUCUAUCUAUCGCUGCUAAUCUAUCGCCGCUGCCAAUCUAUCCCUCACUGCUAAGCUAUCCCUCGCUGCUAAGCUAUCCCUCACUACUAAGCUAUCUAUCACUGCUAAUCUAUCGCUGCCAACCUAUCUAUCACUGCCAAUCUAUCUAUCGCUGCUAAUCUAUCACUGCUAAUCUAUCGCUGCUAAUCUAUCACUGCUAAUCUAUUGCUGCUAAUCUAUCGCUGCCAACCUAUCUACCGCGGCGAAUCUAUCUAUCACUAUCAUUACUAGUUCAAAAUAGAACUAGAGCAUAAAUACACUAAACUUCUUUUGAUAGAUAAUGAUUUUUGGUAACACUCAUAGCAUUAUAUCAUCUAUAUAGGGUAAAUCAUGGUCCCAUUUGGUCCCAUUUUAACAAAAUGGGACCAAAUGGGACCAGAAUCAGUAAUUUAUAAGAAGAACAUGACCUGGG
rnacentral:sRNA from 1 species